ACGCAAAGCAAGCAGCUCAGCUCAGCCUGAAGCUCUGCAACCAGUUUUGGGGAGCAAGCAAUGGCCCUGGUUUGUGACCCCAGCCCCCUCCAUCCUCGCCAAGAUCCGGGGAGAGAGCAGAUCCACGGAACCAGAGCUACAGUGAGGUCCACCCCCGACCCGCAGCAAACGUACCUUUGGGAAUGGGCAGUAAACUCAGAAAAGGACAAAGCCUAUUAUGAAGUACGAAUGGCCUAACCAAGGAGGCAGAGCAACUAAUUUCAAUGCAAUUUACAACAGACAUUUAUAAAGCGCCCACUAUGCACAAGACACCAUACUGGGUAAUGAAGAUAUAAAGACAAAAAUGGAACUAUUCCUGCCCUCCAGUAGCUUACAUUCAUACCCUGGCAGAAGAGAUGGACUAUGUCCACAAGUAAAUAUGAAGUAGACACAAAGUAAUUUCAAGAUGGAAAGAAUAUUAAUACCUGGAAGAGAAGCAGAAAAAGGCUCAUGACCUCUGAUGUGAAGGAAGCAAGGAAAUCUAAGAGAUGUAAGAGAAGAGGCAGUGCAUUCAAGAUGUGGGGAACUAUUUCACCUAAGAUACAGAAGAAGUGUGGAAGGUCAUUUCUGGGGAUUUGCCAGCAGGCUGGCCAAAGCCAGUAGGAGUGGGCAGAGGUAUUAGAAGGUCAAAAUAGCUUUCCUUUGGUAGAAGCCCAGUUUUCUUCUUCAAUCUAACACUUAUCCUAAUGCCUGCUUCAGUCAUAGCAUGCAUGUAUAAUUGUGUAUGAGCUGCUUCAUAUGAUUUCAUUUGGCAUCUUCAAAUGUGGUUUUGACCAUUUUACUGCAUAGUGACAUGAUUUUGAAGAAUCCAAUCCCUUUUUAGGCUAAAUUUCUAGUGGGUAACAUGUUUCUAUCAAAAGCAGUCAUUAAUUACUGAAAUCCAAUAAAACAGUUCAGGAAAAGAAAUGAGAAAAUGAUAAGAAAAGAAUAUAUUUGUUGAUAGGGAAGAGGAGAGAGUGUGUAUUCCGGUGUUAGGGCUCCAGGGAAAAGAUAGUGAGAUCUAGGAAAACAAAUCAUGGAUAAUGGAGACUCUAAGCACUGUGUGAUGAAUGAAAAGUCUGAGAAACAUAAUUUAUGGGUAAUUGACAAUCAUUUUAUUAAUUAUGGCUAGCAAAUAAUAAAAAGAUGGUCAUUUGACUUUCAUAAACCAAAGACAAAUCAUGGAGGCUGUUCACACCUUAUGUCCUUAUAUCCUGACAGGUGGAAAUCAACUCUGAUUGGUUAACAAUUAAUAAGAGAAUGAAUAUUAUAAUGAGAGGUGGUCUUAUUAUAAUGAGGGGCUAGGGAAUGUGACCUUUAUUUAUGUCACUCUUAACUCUCAAGUUAGACCAUUCCACCUCAGGCAAGCUACAAAAGGAUCUAUCCUCCAACCAGUCAACCAACAAUGAAAGAUGGUGGAGUAAGUAUUACACCUAGAUUAAGAUGGGGCAAAUUAGGGGGCAAGGUCAGAAAUGUCCUUGAGAAGGUGGGCUUUGAGUGAGGAAAUAGAAGGGAAAAGCCUUAAUCCUAAUUUAAUAAUUGGUUGUUAAUAUAAGAGACAAGCAAUCAUUUCUCUCAACUGGGAUCCACCUAAGUAGGUUUCCCAAAAGCAAUUGGUUUCCUCAAGCAAGGAAGUGGUUCAGACAGAGGAAAAACAUAGGAUUAUAGAUAUGGAAGGUACCUCAAAGAUAAUCUAGUCAUCAUUUUACAGAUGAGAAAACUGAGACCAAAAGCAGUUGAACCUAGGCCUGGUCAUACUUUUUUCCACUGUUCACUGAUGCUACUUCUUUGCCAGAUAUGUAUAUUUCAAGAGUCAAAGAAUUAAACAUAUUGCAAUGCCCUUGGCAGCAAAGUUAAUUCAUAGUGACAGUGGCUUUGGUGAAAGCAAAACUCUAUCUAAGGCCCAUUCCAUAGUAAUCCCAAAAUGUCUGUGGAAUAUGCCUUUUUAUAGCUGUUUUACUAAGAACCCAAGCUUCACGUGUAUUACCUGAGCCAGGGGUGGGGA